rnacentral:rRNA from 1 species
UACGUAGGUGGCAAGCGUUUGUCCGGAAUUAUUGGGCGUAAAGCGCGCGCAGGCGGUCCUUUAAGUCUGAUGUGAAAUCCCACGGCUCAACCGUGGAAGGUCAUUGGAAACUGGGGGACUUGAGUACAGAAGAGGAAAGCGGAAUUCCAAGUGUAGCGGUGAAAUGCGUAGAGAUUUGGAGGAACACCAGUGGCGAAGGCGGCUUUCUGGUCUGUAACUGACGCUGAGGCGCGAAAGCGUGGGGAGCAAACAGG